rnacentral:rRNA from 1 species
GACGAACGCUGGCGGCGUGCUUAACACAUGCAAGUCGAACGGACUAUUUCAUUUCGGUGGAGUAGUUAGUGGCGAACGGGUGAGUAACGCGUAGACAGCCUACCUCUUAGAUGGGGACAACAUCGCGAAAGCGGUGCUAAUACCGAAUGAAGUGACUUUCCUGCAUGGGAGAGAUACUAAAGGUGGCCUCUAUUUAUAAGCUACCACUGAGAGAUGGGUCUGCGUCUGAUUAGCUAGUUGGCGGGGUAACGGCCCACCAAGGCGACGAUCAGUAGCUGGUCUGAGAGGAUGAACGGCCACAUUGGGACUGAGACACGGCCCAAACUCCUACGGGAGGCAGCAGUGGGGAAUUUUGGACAAUGGGCGAAAGCCUGAUCCAGCAAUGCCGCGUGCAGGAAGAAGGCCUUCGGGUUGUAAACUGCUUUUGUACGGAGCGAAAAGGCUCUCUCUAAUACAGGGGGCUCAUGACGGUACCGUAAGAAUAAGCACCGGCUAACUACGUGCCAGCCGCCGCCGUAA